rnacentral:tRNA from 1 species
AGGCACGUAGCUCAGGGGGAGAGCGCUACCUUGACACGGUAGAAGUCGUUGGUUCAAAUCCAAUCGUGCCUA